GGUUUAAUUCGAUGAUACGCGAGGAACCUUACCCGGGCUUGAAUUGCAGGAGAACGAUACAGAGAUGUUGAGGUCCUUCGGGACUCCUGUGAAGGUGCUGCAUGGUUGUCGUCAGCUCGUGCCGUGAGGUGUCGGCUUAAGUGCCAUAACGAGCGCAACCCCUCUCCGUAGUUGCCAUCAGGUGAUGCUGGGCACUCUGCGGACACUGCCGCCGUAAGGUGUGA
rnacentral:rRNA from 1 species